rnacentral:rRNA from 1 species
UACGUAGGGUGCGGGCGUUAAUCGGAAUUACUGGGCGUAAAGCGUGCGCAGGCGGCUUUGCAAGACAGAUGUGAAAUCCCCGGGCUCAACCUGGGAACUGCAUUUGUGACUGCAAGGCUAGAGUACGGCAGAGGGGGAUGGAAUUCCGCGUGUAGCAGUGAAAUGCGUAGAUAUGCGGAGGAACACCAAUGGCGAAGGCAAUCCCCUGGGCCUGUACUGACGCUCAUGCACGAAAGCGUGGGGAGCAAACAGG